ACCUUUACCUUUUUUAGCUCUGUUGGUUAGAAGGUGGUGCUGAGAAUGCCAGGGUUGCAGGUUCGAUCCCCGUUUGGGGUA